rnacentral:ribozyme from 1 species
AAAAAUCACAAACGAAUAAAAUAAAUUAAAUAUAAAUACCCAAGUUGUAUUUAGUUUAUAUAUAUUUAUUAUUAUUUAUUUUUACCGCUAGUCAAUAGCGCUCAUAUUUCGUGUAUUCACUAUCGUGUAAUUACAGCCA